rnacentral:rRNA from 1 species
AAAACACGGACGAACGCUGGCGGCGUGCUUAACACAUGCAAGUUGAACGGGCAUACAUGGAAGCUUGCUGAAGUGUAUGUUAGUAGCGGACGGGUGAGUAAUGCAUGAGAAGCUGCCAUUGGGAGGGGGACAACAGUUGGAAACGGCUGCUAAUACCCCGUAUGCCGGAAGGUAAAAGGGAGCGAUCCGCCCGAUGAGGUGCUCAUGUCCUAUCAGCUGGUUGGUGGGGUAACGGCCUACCAAGGCGACGACGGGUAGCCGGCCUGAGAGGGUGAACGGCCACACUGGAACUGAGAUACGGUCCAG